GAUGAACGCUAGCGGCAGGCUUAACACAUGCAAGUCGAGGGGCAGCAUAAUGGAUAGCAAUAUCUAUGGUGGCGACCGGCGCACGGGUGCGUAACGCGUAUGCAACCUACCUUUAACAGGGGGAUAACACUGAGAAAUUGGUACUAAUACCCCAUAAUAUCAUAGAAGGCAUCUUUUAUGGUUGAAAAUUCCGAUGGUUAGAGAUGGGCAUGCGUUGUAUUAGCUAGUUGGUGAGGUAACGGCUCACCAAGUCCACGAUGGAUAGGGGUUCUGAGAGGAAGGUCCCCCACACUGGUACUGAGACACGGACCAG
rnacentral:rRNA from 1 species